GAGUUGUAAUUUGCAGAGGAUGUUAUGGAAUCUGUAUGGACUCAAAUUCUUUGGAAAAAGAUGCCACGGAGAGUGACAGACUCGUAUUGUCCUCUACAUUUUCCAUGUAUAACUCCUUCAAAGAGUCGAGUUGUUUGGGAAUGCAGCUCUAAGUGGGACGUAAAUUUGUUCCAAAGCUAAAUACCGGCUAGAGACCGAUAGCGCACAAGUAGAGUGAUCGAAAGAUGAAAAGCACUUUGAAAAGAGAGUUAAAAAGCACGUGAAAUUGUUGAAAGGGAAGCUUGUGUCAUCAGCAAUGACGUCACUGUUCAGCCUUUUGGUGUACUCAGUGGUUUGUCAGGCUAGCAUCGAUUUGGAUAGCUGGAUAAAAGUGUUGGAAAUGUAGCUUCUCCGGAAGUGUUAUAGUCCGAUACACAAUGCAGCUCAUCCAGAUCGAGGACUGCUUACAGGAUGC
rnacentral:rRNA from 1 species